GGUGUUUGUGUAUAGGAAUAGUAAUAAGGUUGAGUGCACUGUGUUGGAGAAGGAGAUGAUGAGGAGAAAGAUGAAAGCUUGGAAGAAAAAAGAAGUGAUUAGGGGUUUUUUUUUUUUUUUUUUUUUUUGCUAACAGAAAGGUGUGGAAGUUUCGCAGGAGGUGAGUUUGGAGAAGUCAUUGGUGUUCUUUGAGAAACCUAAGUUUGAUAGUAUAUCUAAAGUAAAGGGUCCAGAGAAGAAGUUGGAACUCUGUUGAAUCUAUGGACUUUGAUGAUAAGAUCCAUAAAAUCAAAGCAAUGGCUAGGCUACUUUAGAGGUGGUUUCCGGCCAAAUAUAAGGAAAUUGUAUCAAGAUAAAGUUAUCUG
rnacentral:lncRNA from 1 species